rnacentral:lncRNA from 1 species
GGGUUAGCUGCGCAAAAUACUCAUCCUGUGACAAGUGGUAUCAGAGCUAAGGUUUGCACGCACGCAAGUUAGCUCACGAAGCAAUGGCCAACCCUUCGAACGUAGCACAAGAGGGUGUUGUUGGUGUGGAUGUUCCACCGGAACCAAGCCGCGGCCGAGAGGGAGAACGCGCCCAAGGCAAGACUCGCAGCAAGUCCAAGGCCCCAUCCGUGGAUGCGUUGGAGCCUCGUGUGGCUAUUCUCGAAAUCGCAUUGUCCGCCGCUCAAGAUAGCCUCGAGGGACUGGAGGAAAGAGUGGAUGGUCUCGAGGGGGAAUACGCCGAGUUCACGGUGGCAACAAAGGCUCUCAUCCAAGAGCAAGCGAAUACUCUUCGAGGUGAGUUUCGUGCUUUUCAUGAUGAGUUGCUCAAACUUCGUAGUUUUGUUCAGGACGAACUACGCGCUGUCCGUGCAGAAGUAGAUGAAGUCCGCUCGGAUUGGGCAUGGCACAAGCGCACACUCUCUAUAAGUCCAAUUUCCGCAAACUCGAGUGAUGCGCGCCGCAUUGACGUGCCAAAGCCCGACACUUACGAUGGCACACGCAACGCCACAGUCGUGGACAAUUUCCUCUUUGGGCUUGAUCAAUACUUCGAUGCCAUGGGUGUACGAGACGAGGCAUCGAAAGUGGGCAUUGCACCCACCUACCUUAGAGGCACUGCACAACUAUGGUGGCGUCGCAAGCAUGGCGAGAUGGGCAAGGGCAUUUGCACCAUCGACACUUGGGCCGACUUCAAGCAAGAACUCCGAAAGCAGUUCGCCCCAAGCAAUGCGGAAAAGGAAGCGCGAGCGCGCUUACAUCGCCUCAAGCAAUCGGGUAGCAUUCGGGACUACAUCAAUGAGUUCACUAUCCUUAUGUUGGAGAUAAGCGACAUGUCCGACAAGGAUUCACUUUUCUACUUCCAAGAUGGCCUCAAGGAUUGGGCCAAGACCGAGCUUGAUAGGCGUGGUGUUCAAACACUUGACGACGCCAUCGCCAUUGCGGAGUCGCUCACCGAAUACUCCGCCCAGGUCAAGGACAAGAGGUCUAGCUACGACCAAAGUGGGGGAGAGAGUCAUGAGGACAACAACCGCAAUUGCAAGGAAUGGAGCAAGAAAAAGCCUCCAAGCGGCAAGGACGGGCAAAGUAAGUCCGAGAAGCCACCCAAGCCUCGAAGCCCAUGCUUCAUUUGCAAUGGCUCUCAAUGGGUGCGCGACUGCUCGGAGAAAAAGUCGUUGAAUGCCCUCGUGGCACAACUUAAGGGCCAACGCACACCGACUGCGGAGGAACCUCAACACAACUUGGGUUCGCUCCAACGCCUUAGCACACUCGUGAGCCAACCGCCAGAACCUACAAGGAAAGGGCUCAUGUUCGUAAGUGUGCUCAUCAAUGGCCGAACCGUUCGUGCGCUCCUUGACACCGGAGCAACGCACAACUUCAUCUCCAAAACUAGGCCUCAAGGUAAUGCAGCACGGAGGCACCAUCAAGGCUGUAAAUUCGCCUGCCAAGCCAUUUGCGGGAAUCACACGAGGCGUGCACGUUACGCUUGGGACAUGGAAUGGGAAGCUCGACUUCUCGAUUGUGCCGAUGGAUGACUUCACAAUGAUCCUUGGCAUGGAAUUCUUCGACAAGGUACAUGCCUUCCCACUUCCAGCAACAAACUCCCUUAGCAUCUUCGAUGGGAGUAAGGCAUGCGUGGUACCGGUCGAGCGCGCACAACCCGCAGAAAAGGCGCUCUCGGUCAUGCAGUGCAGACGAGGAUUCAAGAAGAAUCCGGACCACUUGGUCUCCAUCCGACAACACCGUAAGGGAGAGGAUUCCGAAAGCCCUCCAAGCCAAGUCCCACAACAAGUACGAGCCGUCAAUGACAAAGGCAAGGACGCUAUGCCUCCGAAGCUCCCACCGAGAUGAGUGGCUGAGCAACGCACAAAGCCAGAGCAUAAGGGGUUGCGGAAACACAAGAGGGGACGCCGCAACACCAACCGAAAGAAGGAAACAACCACAUGCGGAGCAAGUGGCGGAACCUCCCCAAGAGUGAAGCACACGAAGACUAACGACAAAUCACGGAACAAGUCCCCCAAGGAGCAAGGACGAGAUCGCGACGAGGACGCCGCGAGCUUAGGUGGGGGAGGAUGUUACGGUCCGCCCAAUUCGCUAGCCCAAUUGCCCAUAAUUUCGGGCUAGAGAGCCAACACAAGGCCAAGAGUGCUAGCUUGGCCCAAUUCCGGAACAUUCUAGGCAACUCUAGCACAUGAGCUUGUAAAUACUCUAGAAUUCUCCAUAGAAUUCCAGCACAUGUAAAUAGCUAGGAAAUGGUAGAAUUCUCUAGAAUCUCUAGAACUUGGCAAGCCUCCCCUAUAAAUAUGGGAUGGCAUUAGGCAUUUGUAUCCAACAAACACUACAACAAGCAUUGUAAUCUCUCUUUGUGCAAUACAAGUUUCUUCUUUGGCUCAAUUGCUCUCUUCUCUAUUCCGAGAAGCUCUAGGCUUACUUAGCAACAUUCGGCAAAGUUGUCUAAGUGCCGCACGGGUUAGCUGCGCAAAACACUCAUCCCGUGACACUACGCUCUGUAUACAUUAGCAUGGGAUAACAUCAUA